rnacentral:rRNA from 1 species
CAAGUCGAGCGAACGGACGAGAAGCUUGCUUCUCUGAUGUUAGCGGCGGACGGGUGAGUAACACGUGGAUAACCUACCUAUAAGACUGGGAUAACUUCGGGAAACCGGAGCUAAUACCGGAUAAUAUUUUGAACCGCAUGGUUCAAAAGUAAAAGACGGUCUUGCUGUCACUUAUAGAUGGAUCCGCGCUGCAUUAGCUAGUUGGUAAGGUAACGGCUUACCAAGGCAACGAUGCAUAGCCGACCUGAGAGGGUGAUCGGCCACACUGGAACUGAGACACGGUCCAGACUCCUACGGGAGGCAGCAGUAGGGAAUCUUCCGCAAUGGGCGAAAGCCUGACGGAGCAACGCCGCGUGAGUGAUGAAGGUCUUCGGAUCGUAAAACUCUGUUAUUAGGGAAGAACAUAUGUGUAAGUAACUGUGCACAUCUUGACGGUACCUAAUCAGAAAGCCACGGCUAACUACGUGCCAGCGGCCGCGGUAAUACGUAGGUGGCAAGCGUUAUCCGGAAUUAUUGGGCGUAAAGCGCGCGUAGGCGGUUUUUUAAGUCUGAUGUGAAAGCCCACGGCUCAACCGUGGAGGGUCAUUGGAAACUGGAAAACUUGAGUGCAGAAGAGGAAAGUGGAAUUCCAUGUGUAGCGGUGAAAUGCGCAGAGAUAUGGAGGAACACCAGUGGCGAAGGCGACUUUCUGGUCUGUAACUGACGCUGAUGUGCGAAAGCGUG